UGGGGAAUAUUGCACAAUGGGCGAAAGCCUGAUGCAGCAACGCCGCGUGAGGGACGACGGCCUUCGGGUUGUAAACCUCUUUAGCAAGGAAGAAGCGAAAGUGACGGUACUUGCAGAAAAAGCGCCGGCUAACUACGUGCCAGCAGCCGCGGUAAUACGUAGGGCGCAAGCGUUAUCCGGAAUUAUUGGGCGUAAAGAGCUCGUAGGCGGUUUGUCGCGUCUGCUGUGAAAACCCGAGGCUCAACCUCGGGCCUGCAGUGGGUACGGGCAGACUAGAGUGCGGUAGGGGAGAUUGGAACUCCUGGUGUAGCGGUGGAAUGCGCAGAUAUCAGGAAGAACACCGAUGGCGAAGGCAGAUCUCUGGGCCGUAACUGACGCUGAGGAGCGAAAGGGUGGGGAGCAAACAGGCUUAGAUACCCUGGUAGUCCACCCGUAAACGUUGGGAACUAGUUGUGGGGUCCAUUCCACGGAUUCCGUGACGCAGCUAACGCAUUAAGUUCCCCGCCUGGGGAGUACGGCCGCAAGGCUAAAACU
rnacentral:rRNA from 1 species